UCCUAGCCGCGAUAGAAGCGGCAUCCUUUUUCCUGAGGCCUGAGCGAAGGCAGCAGGAAAAAGAUACAGCGGAUAGCGCGCACAAUC
rnacentral:sRNA from 1 species